rnacentral:snRNA from 1 species
GUGCUUCAGCAGCACAUACACUGAGAGGGAGAUGAUACAGAAAAGAUCAGCAUGACUCCUGCACAAGGAUGUCACACAAAUUUGGGAAGCAUUCCAUAUUUGC